GGGGUUGUGGCUCAGAGAUAGAGCACUCGCCUAGCAUGCGAGAGGCACUGGGUUAGAUCCUCAGCACCA
rnacentral:tRNA from 1 species